UACAGAGGUCCCAAGCGUUGUUCGGAUUCACUGGGCGUAAAGGGCGCGUAGGCGGCCCGCUAAGUCGAACGUGAAAUCCCCGGGCUCAACCCGGGAACUGCGUCCGAUACUGGCAGGCUUGAAUCCGGGAGAGGGAUGCGGAAUUCCAGGUGUAGCGGUGAAAUGCGUAGAUAUCUGGAGGAACACCGGUGGCGAAGGCGGCAUCCUGGACCGGCAUUGACGCUGAGGCGCGAAAGCCAGGGGAGCAAACGGG
rnacentral:rRNA from 1 species